UCUGGGGACCCACACGUUGAGAAACCCUGCUCUACAGGAUCCCCACUGGGACAAACUUUAAAACAAAAGAUAAAGGAUACUAGAUAGAAUAUAACACAUGACUAAGUUUAAUCCCCUCUGUUUAGCCCCCAAGCCCCCUUCCCACCUGCCUACCUUCCUUCCCUCCCCUUCCACUCCUGGAGACUCAUAUUUGAGCCAAGCAGUAGGAGAUACCCAAAUGCAUAUUUCCAAACCCAGAAGUACAAGAUUGGGAUCACAUCAAUAUGAAACAGGUUCUCUGCAAUCUCCUGUGGCAGUUCCUCUGAAGAAACUGGGCUAGCCUAGUUGUCCCCAAGAAAAAGACUCUUGACUCAAACAUGUUAGGCCUUCCUCUUUUCUUUCUUACCGUCCCUUCUGUUUUUUUGAUGAGCUCCAAAUCUAGGACAAUACUGCAGACGGGGGCACACCUUGGUAAUUGUGGCACCUGGACUGCCCCCACCGUGAGCCCCCCUGCCGUGAGCCCCCCCCCCACUGUGAACCGCCCCAGCCACCACCCCUCAGAUGCGAACAUGGUGGCUUUAAUUAUGGGGGGGAGAGGUACGGCAUGCGGGACAGUGGCAGGGCAGGUGUGGGUGGCUGUAGGAGGGCCCCCUCAGCCAUUUGGAGGCCCCCUGGACCUUGGAGGCCACAGACCGGAGCCCCAAGGUCUGGAGAAGAGUCAUUCUCAUGGUUGUGUGAGAGAAAGAACAACGUGUUCUAAGAUGGCACCUACUCCACUCACCCUCUGGUUUUUUUGUGAGAUGUAUUCUAAUCUGUGUUGAGGAGCUGCAGUAGUAAAGGAGCCGGCAGAAGGGAUGUCUUCUCGAGUUUGGUUCUUGCUCACUGAUUUAGUAUUCAGAAUUUAGAAUUUAUGGAGAAGUCUUCCAUUGUCACAUCAUCUAUCAGAGACAGACACCAGAGAGAUGGAAGUGGGGGAAAAAUUAAAAACCUGUUUAUUGCUCAAGUUGCUCUAGGCAUCUUUUAGUUUAUUGUUCAGCUCAGUUCAUUCCAGCGUUUCAAUUUGAAUGGCUCACUUAUUUGCUGUGGCUAAAAAAAACAAAACAAAAAACUAAAUUAAAAACCAUAAGGAAACCUAUUUAAGAAAAGGGGGAAAACUUAAGAGUUGUGGGGUGCCAACACCACCUCGUCAUGUUAUGAGGUGUCAGAGGAUAAUUUAAGGGCCUAGCGGAUCUUGCCUUCAAAGGAGAUGCUCAAUCGAGCAUUCCUCCGGCAUCUGACACCCCGAGUGUGUCGGAGUUAGGAGGAGGAGCUUCCUGUAGAAGAGAUCCGCAAUGCAGAUGAAGAGACCCAAGUUGGGUGCCUGGAUUUGCUAAUGCUUGGCAAGUAUAAACAAAUAGCAGCAACCACAUUUUAUAGUCACUUUCUCUUGAUUCCAUCAACCCUUGUUCCUUCCACCUCUUUUCCAAAAUAGUAAGUUGAUAGGAGGUUGGGGGAAUGUCAUGGCAGUGAGUAGUGCCAAAGUGCAGGUACUCUCUGUAGAAUCCAGAGGGAAAGGUUGUGGUAUGCAAGGAUGAGGCAGUGGAGUUGAAUCAGGAAUGCGAAUGCUUUAAUGAGACA